GUUAACAAUGGGUGGCAUGUUUCCAAAUAAGUAAUAGAAUUUUGAAUGUUUUCACCAUUAAAGAAAAAUGAUAAAUAUUUGAGGUGAUGCAUAUGUUAAUUAGCCUGAUUGAAUCAUUCCACAAUGUAAGCAUUAUCCAAACAUCACAUCGCACCCCAUAAAUGCAUACAAUUAUUAUUUGCUGUUACAGGGUUAGAUAUGAGGUGUCCCCCCAAAGCUCAUGUGUGAGAGAAUGCAAGAAUGUUUAGAGGUGAAAUGAUAGAUAGAUCAUUAGUGCAUUAAUCCCUGGAUAGGGAUUAGCUUGGUGAUAACUGUAAGCAGAUAGGGUAUGGCCGGAGGAGGGGGAUCCCUGUGGCAUGCCUUUGGGGUACACAUUGUCUCCUUAUUGAGCAGAGCUCUCUCUCUCUGCUUCCUUGUGGGAUGUGCUGAGCCCCUUUUCUCUGCCAUACUCUUCAGCCAUGAGCCAUCUCUGGACUGAGAUCUCUGAAACCAUGAACCCCAAAUAACCUUUCUCUCCCCUGACUGUUCUUGUUAGAUCUUUUGGUCACCGCAGUGAAAAAGCUGCUGAUUUGCUGAUCCACCACAAAAUUAAACUUUAAAGAGAGCACUCCAUAUAUUUUAUAGAAGAGAAUUUGACUGACAGCUACCUUAGUCAGGUGAUCAAGGUCACCAUCCACCAUGAUACAAAAAUCAUGCUGACGGGAUAGAAUUCGAUAUGAAAAUGGCAUUCUGCUUUUGCAGCCUUUCCCCCCUCAAGCACAUAUCCCAGUAUAAACCCCAGAAGAGGGGGAAAAAAAAGCCCACAUUGAGGGACAGUCUACAAAAUACCUGACCAGUACUCCUCAACACUCUCAAGGUCAUCAGAAAUGAGGGAAGUCUGAGAAACGGUCCUGGCCAAGAGCAGCCUAAGGAGACGUGACAGCUAAACAUAACGUGGCAUCCUGGGUGGGAUUCUGGGAUGGAAAAAGGCCAUUAGGCAAGAACCAGGGAAGUCUGAAUGAAGUAUGGACUUCCGCUCACGAUAGUGCAUUCAGAUUGGUUCAUUCAUUGUGACAAAUGUACCAGAGGAUGUCAGAUGUUAAUAACGGAGGAAACGGAUCACAGGUAUCUAGGAAUACUCUGUACUGCCUUUUCAACUUCUCUCUGUAGAUUUAAAACUAUUCUAAAAUAAAGAAAUUUAAAAAAAAUGCUCUAUGGAGGUCAGAUAGUGGGGACAAUAUAAGGCCAUCAUAUGGGCUGGACUCAGAAGGGGACAGAACUGAAGGGAAGUUUGUGGUUAACUUUCCCAGCAACCUGGAGUGGGAUCAUGUGCCCAAAGACAGGAAAGACAGAUGAGGAGGGGACCGAGUUCCUUCCUGCCCUAAUGCCAGCUACUGGCAUAUGGCUUUUAGCAAAGUGGCUAUAUUCUGGGCUAAUCUACCUACUGAAAGGCUUUGGAACCUUCUAGGGAGAGGAAGGGGUAAAGACUCCAUGACUU
rnacentral:lncRNA from 1 species